AGUAUAUAUGUGGUUUUAUAGGGAUCUUACUUUGUGGAAAAUGACACAGUAAAUAAAUAAUACAUGUUUUUUUUUUCUUUUUAUUGAUUGUUUGAAUUAAACUACGUACAUACGUACAUACUCUUUAUUUUUUAGUUUAUCUUAAAAAUAAUAUUAUUCCGUCUGUAGUAUUUUAAUUAUCAUCUUAACUCUUUUAUGUCGGUCAGGAAAGGCAAGAUAUAUG
rnacentral:lncRNA from 1 species